AAUACCGCUGACAGCGCUCACCUCCUCCCGAGCAAUGUUGGCGAAGACGCGCCUUGCCUCUUCUCCUCCCGAGACGCACCGAGGCGCGGAUACAUAAGAACGGUCAUGCUCACCUCCUCCCGAGCGUGACCGUUUUU
rnacentral:sRNA from 16 species